UACGGGGGGGGCAAGCGUUGUUCGGAAUUACUGGGCGUAAAGGGCUCGUAGGCGGCCAACUAAGUCAGACGUGAAAUCCCUCGGCUUAACCGGGGAACUGCGUCUGAUACUGGAUGGCUUGAGUUCGGGAGAGGGAUGCGGAAUUCCAGGUGUAGCGGUGAAAUGCGUAGAUAUCUGGAGGAACACCGGUGGCGAAGGCGGCAUCCUGGACCGACACUGACGCUGAGGCGCGAAAGCUAGGGGAGCAAACGGG
rnacentral:rRNA from 1 species